AGUGAACGCUGGCGGUAGGCCUAACACAUGCAAGUCGAACGGCCGCACAGUAAGAGCUUGCUCUUACGGGUGGCGAGUGGCGGACGGGUGAGGAAUACAUCGGAAUCUACUUUUUCGUGGGGGAUAACGUAGGGAAACUUACGCUAAUACCGCAUACGACCUACGGGUGAAAGCAGGGGAUCUUCGGACCUUGCGCGAUUGAAUGAGCCGAUGUCGGAGUAGCUAGUUGGCGGGGUAAAGGCCCACCAAGGCGACGAUCCGUAGGUGGUCAGAGGGGAUGGUCAGGUACACUGUAACUGAGACACGUUCCAGACUCCUGCGCUAGGCAGCGGUGGAGAAUAUUAGACAAUGGGCGCAAGCCUGAUCCAGCCAUACCGCGUGGGGCAUGAAGGACUUAUGGUUGGUGAGUCCUUUUGGUGUGAAAGUAAAGCAGCAGUUUAACACCCCGCUAUACUGACGGUACCCAAAGAAGAAGCACCGGCUAACUUCGUG
rnacentral:rRNA from 1 species